CUUAAAGGAAUGACGGGACCGCACAAGCGGUGGAUGAUGUGGAUUAAUUCGAUGCAACGCGAAAACCUUACCUACCCUUGACAUGUCCGGAAUCCCGAAGAGAUUUGGGAGUGCUCGCAAGAGAACCGGAACACAGGUGCUGCAUGGCUGUCGUCAGCUCGUGUCGUGAGAUGUUGGGUUAAGUCCCGCAACGAGCGCAACCCUUGUCAUUAAUUGCCAUCAUUCAGUUGGGCACUUUAAUGAGACUGCCGGUGACAAACCGGAGGAAGGUGGGGAUGACGUCAAGUCCUCAUGGCCCUUAUGGGUAGGGCUUCACACGUAAUACAAUGGUCGGUACAGAGGGUUGCCAACCCGCGAGGGGGAGCCAAUCCCAGAAAACCGAUCGUAGUCCGGAUUGCAGUCUGCAACUCGACUGCAUGAAGUCGGAAUCGCUAGUAAUCGCGGAUCAGCAUGUCGCGGUGAAUACGUUCCCGGGUCUU
rnacentral:rRNA from 1 species